GAAACUGCCCGUGAUAAGCGGGAGGAAGGUGUGGAUGACGUCAAGUCCUCAUGGCCCUUACGGGUUGGGCUACACACGUGCUACAAUGGGCAGUACAGAGGGUUGCCAACCCGCGAGGGGGAGCUAAUCUCACAAAGCUGUUCGUAGUCCGGAUUGUUCUCUGCAACUCGAGAACAUGAAGUCGGAAUCGCUAGUAAUCGUGAAUCAGAAUGUCACGGUGAAUACGUUCCCGGGCCUUG
rnacentral:rRNA from 1 species